rnacentral:rRNA from 1 species
GACGAACGCUGGCGGCGUGCCUAAUACAUGCAAGUAGAACGCUGAAGAGAGGAGCUUGCUCUUCUUGGAAGAGUUGCGAACGGGUGAGUAACGCGUAGGUAACCUGCCUUGUAGCGGGGGAUAACUAUUGGAAACGAUAGCUAAUACCGCAUAACAAUGGGUGACCCAUGUCAUUCAUUUGAAAGGGGCAACUGCUCCACUACAAGAUGGACCUGCGUUGUAUUAGCUAGUAGGUGAGGUAACGGCUCACCUAGGCGACGAUACAUAGCCGACCUGAGAGGGUGAUCGGCCACACUGGGACUGAGACACGGCCCAGACUCCUACGGGAGGCAGCAGUAGGGAAUCUUCGGCAAUGGGGGCAACCCUGACCGAGCAACGCCGCGUGAGUGAAGAAGGUUUUCGGAUCGUAAAGCUCUGUUGUAAGAGAAGAACGAGUGUGAGAGUGGAAAGUUCACACUGCGACGGUAUCUUACCAGAAAGGGACGGCUAACUACGUGCCAGCAGCCGCGGUAAUACGUAGGUCCCGAGCGUUGUCCGGAUUUAUUGGGCGUAAAGCGAGCGCAGGCGGUUAGAUAAGUCUGAAGUUAAAGGCUGUGGCUUAACCAUAGUACGCUUUGGAAACUGUUUAACUUGAGUGCAGAAGGGGAGAGUGGAAUUCCAUGUGUAGCGGUGAAAUGCGUAGAUAUAUGGAGGAACACCGGUGGCGAAAGCGGCUCUCUGGUCUGUAACUGACGCUGAGGCUCGAAAGCGUGGGGAGCAAACAGG